AUUGAACGCUGGCGGCAUGCCUUACACAUGCAAGUCGAACGGCAGCACGGGAGCAAUCCUGGUGGCGAGUGGCGAACGGGUGAGUAAUAUAUCGGAACGUGCCCAGUCGUGGGGAUAACGUAGCGAAAGCUACGCUAAUACCGCAUACGAUCUACGGAUGAAAGCGGGGGAUCGCAAGACCUCGCGCGAUUGGAGCGGCCGAUAUCAGAUUAGGUAGUUGGUGAGGUAAAGGCUCACCAAGCCGACGAUCUGUAGCUGGUCUGAGAGGACGACCAGCCACACUGGGACUGAGACACGGCCCAGACUCCUACGGGAGGCAGCAGUGGGGAAUUUUGGACAAUGGGCGCAAGCCUGAUCCAGCAAUGCCGCGUGCAGGAUGAAGGCCUUCGGUUGUAAACUGCUUUGUUACGGUAACGAAGACGGUGAGC
rnacentral:rRNA from 1 species